UACGUAGGUGGCUAGCGUUGUCCGGAUUUACUGGGCGUAAAGAGCGCGCAGGCGGUCGUUCAAGUCGAGUGUGAAAGCCCCCGGCUCAACUGGGGAGGGUCACUCGAUACUGAUCGACUCGAAGGCAGGAGAGGGAAGCGGAAUUCCCGGUGUAGUGGUGAAAUGCGUAGAUAUCGGGAGGAACACCAGUGGCGAAGGCGCUUUCUGGCCUGUUCUUGACGCUGAGGCGGCGAAAGCUAGGGUAGCAAACGGG
rnacentral:rRNA from 1 species